CCUACGGGAGGCAGCAGUGGGGGAUAUUGCACAAUGGGGGAAACCCUGAUGCAGCGACGCCGCGUGGGUGAAGAAGUAUUUCGGUAUGUAAAGCCCUAUCAGCAGGGAAGAAGAAAUGACGGUACCUGAGUACGAAGCACCGGCUAAAUACGUGCCAGCAGCAGCGGUAAUACGUAUGGUGCAAGCGUUAUACGGAUUUACUGGGAGGAAAGGGAGGGCAGGCGGGAGGGCAAGCCUGAUGUGAAAGCCCGCGGCCCAACCGCGGGAGUGCAUUUGGAACUACCGGGCUGGAGUGCCGGAGAGGUAGGCGGAAUUCCUAGUGUAGCGGUGAAAUGCGUAGAUAUUAGGAGGAACACCAGUGGCGAAGGCGGCCUGCUGGGCUUUAACUGACGCUGAGGCUCGAAAGCGUGGGGAGCAAACAGGAUUAGAUACCCGUGUAGUC
rnacentral:rRNA from 1 species